rnacentral:rRNA from 1 species
UCUAGUAGCUGGUUCCCUCCGAAGUUUCCCUCAGGAUAGCUGGUGCAUUAUAAUAUUAUGUUAAAUAAUCUUAUCUGGUAAAGCGAAUGAUUAGAGGCCUUAGGGUCGAAACGACCUUAACCUAUUCUCAAACUUUAAAUGGGUAAGAACCUCACCUUUCUUGAUAUGAAGGUUGAGGUUAUGAUAUAAUGUGCCCAGUGGGCAAGUUUUGGUAAGCAGAACGUGCGCUGUGGGAUGAACCAAACGUAAUGUUACGGUGCCUAAAUUAACAACUCAUGCAGAUACCAUGAAAGGCGUUGGUUGCUUAAAACAGCAGGACGGUGGACAUGGAAGUCGUAAUCCGCUAAGGAGUGUGUAACAACUCACCUGCCGAAGCAACUAGCCCUUAAAAUGGAUGGCGCUUAAGUUGUAUACCUAUACAUUACCGCUAAAGUAGAUGAUUUAUAAUACAAUUUCGAUUGAAUUAUAAAUUUUGAAACUUUAGUGAGUAGGAGGGUACAAUGGUGUGCUUAGAAGUGUUUGGCGUAAGCCUGCAUGGAGCCGCUAUUGGUACAGAUCUUGGUGGUAGUAGCAAAUAAUCGAAUGAGACCUUGGAGGACUGAAGUGGAGAAGGGUUUCGUGUGAACAGUGGUUGAUCACGAGUUAGUCGGUCCUAAGUUCAAGGCGAAAGCCGAAAAUUUUCAAGUUUUAAUGC